rnacentral:rRNA from 1 species
GACGAACGCUGGCGGCGUGCCUAAUACAUGCAAGUAGAACGCUGAAGGAGGAGCUUGCUUCUCCGGAUGAGUUGCGAACGGGUGAGUAACGCGUAGGUAACCUGCCUGGUAGCGGGGGAUAACUAUUGGAAACGAUAGCUAAUACCGCAUAAGAGUAGAUGUCGCAUGACAUUUGCUUAAAAGGUGCAACUGCACCACUACCAGAUGGACCUGCGUUGUAUUAGCUAGUUGGUGAGGAACGGCUCACCAAGGCAACGAUACAUAGCCGACCUGAGAGGGUGAUCGGCCACACUGGGACUGAGACACGGCCCAGACUCCUACGGGAGGCAGCAGUAGGGAAUCUUCGGCAAUGGACGGAAGUCUGACCGAGCAACGCCGCGUGAGUGAAGAAGGUUUUCGGAUCGUAAAGCUCUGUUGUAAGAGAAGAACGAGUGUGAGAGUGGAAAGUUCACACUGUGACGGUAUCUUACCAGAAAGGGACGGCUAACUACGUG